UGAACAUUCCAGGCUCUGUGAACUAAGUGACUGAAGCUGAUUGACACAGGUCAAGGGGACUUCAAGGAAGAAAGCCAGCCUUAGACUGACAUCAGAGAACCAAACUCCGGUGUCUAAGCUCAAGCCUUGCGUGGAUGAAACAGUCCCAACGAACACUUUAAAAAGACAAAUGUUCCCGACAGCACUGGUUGAAUUCAAAACUCGGCAGAUCCAUGUUCUUAUCCUUAGACAAGAGAGGGGCCAUAACAAGAUGGAAUGACGGAACAGACGUGAGAGAUGAUGGUACAGUGACUCGGGUAACCCCAGAAAAGGGACAGCUCUUCUACAGCUCAGUGGGGACAGGGACAAAAAGAAACAAUUUCAUUUCAGUCCACCCAGAGGGUCUGCACUUCUCGGAGCCAGAAGGUGGAGAAGAGUAGGGAUGGAGGAAGUUCGAAGUUUUAGGAGUCUGCUCUUGGGUCCCUAGGCAUGAGGACAAGCUUUUCCUGUACUCAAUGCUCAUCUCUCAGUUGUGCCCACAUUGGUACACAUUACUUGCUUUCAACUGCUGCUGCUGCUGUUUCCUAAUUCAAUAAAGAUAUGGCUGGCUCAGCAGAGAGCUGUCAUCCA
rnacentral:lncRNA from 1 species